UGAACACAGAGAGAAGAGGGGACAUUGGUGCAGGAGGCGUGGCUCGUCAGUGUUCACACAUUUCUUCCUCUACCUAGGUUCAGGUCAGGGCUGGAUUUAGACACAAGCUAAAUGCAUCUUGACUGUAGUUCUUGUUACCAACAAUCCCUUUCCCAAUCUUCCCCCCUGUUGCUUCCUCAGCAGGGAAGAUUCUCCUAACACAAUCAAAUUAACUAAAAUAAAUAUUAUCUUUCUUUAAAAGCUU